rnacentral:rRNA from 1 species
GGAAUUUUGCGCAAUGGGGGAAACCCUGACGCAGCAACGCCGCGUGACCGAUGACGCCCUUCGGGGUGUAAAGGUCUGUCAGUGGGGACGAACAAUCACGGUACCCACAGAGGAAGCACCGGCUAACUCCGUGCCAGCAGCCGCGGUAAUACGGGGGGUGCGAGCGUUGUCCGGAAUCAUUGGGCGUAAAGAGUUCGUAGGUGGUAUGUUAAGUCUGGUGUUAAAGGCAGAGGCUCAACUUCUGUAUGGCACUGGAUACUGGCAAACUAGAAUGCGGUAGAGGUAAAGGGAAUUCCUGGUGUAGCGGUGAAAUGCGUAGAUAUCAGGAGGAACAUCGGAGGCGUAAGCGCUUUACUGGGCCGUAAUUGACACUGAGGAACGAAAGCCGGGGUAGCAAAUG